rnacentral:rRNA from 1 species
GAUGAACGCUAGCGGCAGGCCUAACACAUGCAAGUCGAGGGGCAUCGCGGUGCAGCAAUGCACUGGCAGCGACCGGCGUACGGGUGCGUAACGCGUAUGCAACCUGCCCCGCACCGGGGGAUAGCCCGCCGAAAGGCGGAUUAAUACCCCAUGGUCCCGGGGGCCCGCAUGGGCAUCCGGGUAAAGCCUUGGCGGUGCGGGAUGGGCAUGCGUGCCAUUAGCUGGCUGGUGGGGUAACGGCCCACCAGGGCAACGAUGGCUAGGGGGUCUGAGAGGAUGGUCCCCCACACUGGUACUGAGACACGGACCAGACUCCUACGGGAGGCAGCAGUGAGGAAUAUUGGUCAAUGGGCGGAAGCCUGAACCAGCCAUGCCGCGUGCGGGAUGAAGGGCCCUACGGGUUGUAAAGUUCUUUUAUAUGUGAGCAGUGCUUCUUAUAUUAACAGUAUGGGGGAGAGAGAUAUUAGCAUAUGAAUAAGCAACGGCUAA